ACGCAGCGUUGCUCCGUCNNACUUNCGNCCNNNCNNANGNNNUCNUACGGGANCAGCAGUAGGGAAUCUUCCGCAAUGGACGAAAGUCUGACGGAGCAACGCCGCGUGAGUGAUGAAGGUUUUCGGAUCGUAAAGCUCUGUUGUUAGGGAAGAACAAGUGCCGUUCGAAUAGGGCGGCACCUUGACGGUACCUAACCAGAAAGCCACGGCUAACUACGUGCCAGCAGCCGCGGUAAUACGUAGGUGGCAAGCGUUGUCCGGAAUUAUUGGGCGUAAAGCGCGCGCAGGUGGUUCCUUAAGUCUGAUGUGAAAGCCCACGGCUCAACCGUGGAGGGUCAUUGGAAACUGGGGGACUUGAGUGCAGAAGAGGAAAGUGGAAUUCCAAGUGUAGCGGUGAAAUGCGUAGAUAUUUGGAGGAACACCAGUGGCGAAGGCGACUUUCUGGUCUGUAACUGACACUGAGGCGCGAAAGCGUGGGGAGCAAACAGGAU
rnacentral:rRNA from 1 species